UUAAGUUCAGCGGGUAUUCCUACCUGAUCCGAGGUCAACCAUAGAAAGAAUUGGGGCUUUUAUGGCGAGAAGGCCAGGACAGCUUCAGAAGCGAGACUUGUAAGGUUUACUACGCUUAGAGCAUAUCCUAACUCUGCCAGCUAGCUUUGGGGAGUUGCGUUUCACGGCAAGCUCCCAACACCAAGCAACUAGGGCUUGAG
rnacentral:misc_RNA from 1 species